rnacentral:rRNA from 1 species
CGCGUAGGCGGGAGAGCAAGUCCGGUGUGAAAGCCCCCGGCUUAACCGGGGAAGGUCGCUGGAAACUGCUCUUCUUGAGGUGGACAGAGGGAAGUGGAAUUCCUGGUGUAGCGGUGAAAUGCGUAGAUAUCAGGAGGAACACCCAUGGCGAAGGCAGCUUCCUGGGUCCAAUCUGACGCUGAGGCGCGAAAGCGUGGGGAGCGAACG